GACGAACGCUGGCGGCGUGCCUAAUACAUGCAAGUCGAGCGGACGAUUCGAAAGCUUGCUUUUGAAUCGUUAGCGGCGGACGGGUGAGUAACACGUGGGCAACCUGCCCUGUAGACGGGGAUAACACCGAGAAAUCGGUGCUAAUACCGGAUAACACGAAAUGUCGCAUGACGUUUCGUUGAAAGGCGGCGCAAGCUGCCGCUACAGGAUGGGCCCGCGGCGCAUUAGCUAGUUGGUGAGGUAACGGCUCACCAAGGCGACGAUGCGUAGCCGACCUGAGAGGGUGAACGGCCACACUGGGACUGAGACACGGCCCAGACUCCUACGGGAGGCAGCAGUAGGGAAUCUUCCGCAAUGGACGAAAGUCUGACGGAGCAACGCCGCGUGAGCGAAGAAGGCCUUCGGGUCGUAAAGCUCUGUUGUUAGGGAAGAACAAGUAACGUAGUAACUGACGUUACUAUGACGGUACCUAACGAGAAAGCCACGGCUAACUACGUG
rnacentral:rRNA from 1 species